GAUGAACGCUGGCGGCGUGCCUAAUACAUGCAAGUCGAGCGAACAGACGAGGAGCUUGCUCCUCUGACGUUAGCGGCGGACGGGUGAGUAACACGUGGAUAACCUACCUAUAAGACUGGGAUAACUUCGGGAAACCGGAGCUAAUACCGGAUAAUAUAUUGAACCGCAUGGUUCAAUAGUGAAAGACGGUUUUGCUGUCACUUAUAGAUGGAUCCGCGCCGCAUUAGCUAGUUGGUAAGGUAACGGCUUACCAAGGCAACGAUGCGUAGCCGACCUGAGAGGCUGAUCGGCCACACUGGAACUGAGACACGGUCCAGACGCCUACGGGAGGCAGCAGUAGGGAAUCUUACGCAAUGGGCGAGAGCCUGACGGAGCAACGCCGCGUGAGUGAUGAAGGUCUUCGGAUCGUAAAACUCUGUUAUUAGGGAAGAACAACUGUGUAAGUAACUAUGCACGUCUUGACGGUACCUGAUCAGAAAGCCACGGCUAACUACGUG
rnacentral:rRNA from 1 species